AGAGUUUGAUCAUGGCUCAGAGUGAACGCUGGCGGCAUGCCUAACACAUGCAAGUCGAACGGUAACGGGCCCGCAAGGGUGCCGACGAGUGGCGGACGGGUGAGGAAUACAUCGGAAUUUGCCCAUGUCGUGGGGGAUAACGUAGGGAAACUUACGCUAAUACCGCAUACGACCUAACGGUGAAAGCGGGGGAUCGCAAGACCUCGCGCGAUUGGAUGAGCCGAUGUCGGAUUAGCUAGUUGGUGGGGUAAAGGCCUACCAAGGCGACGAUCCGUAGCUGGUCUGAGAGGAUGAUCAGCCACACUGGGACUGAGACACGGCCCAGGCUCCUACGGGAGGCAGCAGUGGGGAAUAUUGGACAAUGGGGGCAACCCUGAUCCAGCAAUGCCGCGUGUGUGAAGAAGGCCUUCGGGUUGUAAAGCACUUUUGUCCGGAACGAAACGUGACGGGUUAAUGGCCCGGCAAACUGACGGUACCGGAAGAAUCAGCACCGGCUAACUUCGUGCCAGCCGCCGCGGUAAUAC
rnacentral:rRNA from 1 species